rnacentral:lncRNA from 1 species
GUUUCUUCAAUUGUGUAUUUUCUUUUUCAUGACACCUCUAAGUAACUAAUUGCAUUAUAGUUACUUAGCAUAUUAAUUAAUAAAAGCAUCAUAACUUCUUCAUCUGUGUGUUUAAGUCUGAACUUCUAGAAACAAGAUCCCCUUAAGAUUCUUUGUUGUGGCUUUAAGACUAAUGUGUAGGUCUAAACACUCAACCUGAGGGAAGAAACUUCAGUGUUGAGAGAUUAAGAGGUAAAUACGAGUGAAAGAUGAGAGAGAAAUUUUUUAAAAAAAAUUUCUUUGCAGGAACUUCACUAUUUCUCACCCA